UGUAAAGCAUUAAUCAUAAAACUUAGAAGGGAUAAAUACCAGUUGAACAUUAACAAAAUCUUGUGUCAUCAAUUUUACUAUCUUAGUUGAAAAAGAUAAUGCAGACGACCAACCUUUAGAUAUUUAAAUUUAUGUCAAAGAAAGCUAUAAAAAAUAAAAAAUAAUAAAUUAAAAUUCAUUGAUUAACAAAAUUGUUAUGUU
rnacentral:lncRNA from 1 species